UACGGGGGGGAGCAAGCGUUGUUCGGAUUUACUGGGCGUAAAGGGCGCGUAGGCGGUCAGCACAAGUCAAUUGUGAAAUCUCCGAGCUUAACUCGGAAAGGUCAACUGAAACUGUGCGACUAGAGUGCGGAAGGGGCAACUGGAAUUCUUGGUGUAGCGGUGAAAUGCGUAGAUAUCAAGAGGAACACCUGCGGCGAAGGCGGGUUGCUGGGGCCGACACUGACGCUGAAGCGCGAAAAGCCCAGGGAGAGCGAAACGGGG
rnacentral:rRNA from 1 species